rnacentral:rRNA from 1 species
GAUGAACGCUGGCGGCGUGCCUAAUACAUGCAAGUCGAGCGAAUGGAUUAAGAGCUUGCUCUUAUGAAGUUAGCGGCGGACGGGUGAGUAACACGUGGGUAACCUGCCCAUAAGACUGGGAUAACUCCGGGAAACCGGGGCUAAUACCGGAUAACAUUUUGAACCGCAUGGUUCGAAAUUGAAAGGCGGCUUCGGCUGUCACUUAUGGAUGGACCCGCGUCGCAUUAGCUAGUUGGGGAGGUAACGGCUCACCAAGGCAACGAUGCGUAGCCGACGUGACAGGGUGCACGGCGACACUGGGGCGGAGACACGGCCAAGACUCCUACGGGAGGCAGCAGGAGGGAAACUUCCGCAAUGGACGAAAGGCUGACGGAGGAACGCAGCGUGAGUGAUGAAGGCUUUCGGGUCGUAAAACUCUGUUGUUAAGGAAGAACAAGUGCUAGUUGAAUAAGCUGGCACCUUGACGGUACCUAACCAGAAAGCCACGGCUAACUACGUGCCAGCCGCCGCGGUAA